rnacentral:rRNA from 1 species
CGGUAACAGGGGGAGCUUGCUCCCCGCUGACGAGCGGCGGACGGGUGAGUAAUGCAUAGGAAACUGCCCAGUAGUGGGGGAUAGCCCGGGGAAACCCGGAUUAAUACCGCAUACGCCCUUCGGGGGAAAGCAGGGGAUCUUCGGACCUUGCGCUAUUGGAUGUGCCUAUGUCGGAUUAGCUAGUUGGUGGGGUAAGAGCCUACCAAGGCGACGAUCCGUAGCUGGUCUGAGAGGAUGAUCAGCCACAUCGGGACUGAGACACGGCCCGAACUCCUACGGGAGGCAGCAGUGGGGAAUAUUGGACAAUGGGGGCAACCCUGAUCCAGCCAUGCCGCGUGUGUGAAGAAGGCUUUCGGGUUGUAAAGCACUUUCAGUGAGGAGGAAAACCUUACGACUAAUACUCGUGAGGCUUGACGUUACUCACAGAAGAAGCACCGGCUAACUCCGUGCCAGCAGCCGCGGUAAUACGGAGGGUGCAAGCGUUAAUCGGAAUU